UGGCCCGGUACCUGGGCGAGGUCUCGGCUUUGGGGCGACCUCAGUCCCGGCACCCAGCACCCAGCACCUGCCCAUGGCCUGGGCGCACCUGGGGCAGCUGCCCAGGGUGUCCGGUUUGCGUUACUCUGCUGUCUGGGUCUCAGCAGGAGAUCUGAUUUUGAUGGUCAGAUGGAUUUCCCACACGUUCCACCGCACGAGGUGUGGUUUGUUUCGUGACCGUGGGGCGUCGGCGGGCGGCUCGGCGGCAGUGCGGUGAGAAGCGUCCCACGGGAAGUCCCAGAGCCGGGCCACGCCGCGGCCUUGUCAAAACGAGGUUUGGACGGAUCAGCUCGGAGUCGCCGGGUCGCCUCUUCCCUUCUUGCUCCGCUUCCUUCCCGCAACACCCGUCCUCUCCUUCCCGGGGCCCUGAUCCGUCCAGCCUGCAGCCACCCAAGGACUCUCCGUCUGGUCCAACCACUCGUGGGAGGAGCGAUGUUUCGUGGGAAUCGGGCUUGUACCUCAGCUCUCUGAAUUCUGCCCGCCUGCCCCUAAGAUGAACUUGUAAUCAUCGAAUCUUUAGAAAGGCGACCAACGGGUCUGAAGUUCUCUCAGAGAGGAUGGUGGCCAAGCUGUCGGCUCGCUGGGUCCCCCUGGCCGUCCGAUGUCGCCAUGGCGCCUCUCACAGAGCCACGGUGAAUCCCCGUGUCCCACAUGCUCUGACACACGGGCACGGAGUGACCCCAUCGGCUCGGUUCUCCGGACCUGCCGCAGGGCCGGGGGGGCGGUGUCUCGCCCCGAAGGACCCUGACAGACACUCCCCAGGCUGCCGCUCAGCAGAAAACUGGCAUCCCUGAGAGGCAGGCAAAACUGCCUGCUGAAAUGGAGAGAGCAGGUCCCCGGAACUAGGUCGCGGUGACACUGGGGAACCUGCGUCGCUCCCUGGGCAGAAGCAGCUCCACUGUCGCUGCUGCUGCGGCUGCAGAGGGCACGCUCUGCACGGCUGUGGCAGCGGAGGCCGCCUGCUCCCUCCGCCUUCCCUUCUCCCUCCUUUCCUGCUUCGCCAGGGGGUGUCCCUCCCCUAGGCCUCCUGGAUGAGCCAGGCAGGGGGCUCUGAGCAUGGGGUCCCAUCCCAACCCACGCGUUGGCCUACAGACAUUCCAUUCCAGCUCUAAACGUUAGCUUUGCACACCCCUAAACAAAGUGCAUCGCCUGGUAAAAGAAAGCAUUACAUUUAAGAGUAAAUAAAAUUCACCUGA